AAGCCUUGGUUUAGAGAUGCUGGUUUCAGUGGUGUAAAUACCCUCACCAUGGCUAACCUUGAGACCUUGGGGUUGGGAUGGGCACGAUGCUGGUUUCAGUGGUGUAAAUACCCUCACCAUGGCUGACGCUGAGACCUUGGGGUUGGGAUGGGCACGAUGCUGGUUUCAGUGGUGUAAAUACCCUCACCAUGGCUGACGCUGAGACCUUGGGGUUGGCAUGGGCACGAUGCUGGUUUCAGUGGUGUAAAUACCCUCACCAUGGCUGACGCUGAGACCUUGGGGUUGGGAUGGGCACGAUGCUGGUUUCAGUGGUGUAAAUACCCUCACCAUGGCUGACGUUGAGACCUUGGGGUUGGGAUGGGCAUGAUGCUGGUUUCAGUGGUGUAAAUACCCUCACCAUGGCUGACGUUGAGAUCCUGGGGUUGGGAUGGGCACCAGCGGCUCUUCUGAGUGGGUCUGAGUCUGCUCCUGACACCCUGGGGAGGGUGGAUGCAGGGUAAGUGGGGUCUGGGCUGCUUGG
rnacentral:lncRNA from 1 species